AGCACACAGUUUGAGCAGUUUCCCAAAUCCUGUCUUCUCAAGUCCAUUCAUCAGAGGGAGCAAAAAUGAUCCUGUGGUUAAAUUUGGUGUUCUUACUAGCAGUCCUCAGAGGAGUCCAAUCUGAGGUCCAAUUGGUGGAGUCUGGAGGGGACGUGAGAAGACCUGGAGGGUCCCUCCGUCUCUCCUGCCAAGCCUCUGGAUUCACCUUCAGCAGCUAUUACAUGACCUGGGUGAGGCAGUAUCCAGGGAAAGGACUGGAAUGGGUGGCAUACAUAAGCUAUGAUUCCAGCACUAUUUACUACUCAGACAAGGUCAAGGAACGCUUCACCAUCUCCAGGGACAAUGCCAAAAGCCAGCUGUAUCUGCAAAUGAACAACCUCAAGCCAGAGGACACAGGACUCUAUUACUGUGCAAGAGACACAGUGAGAGGAA